GCCGACAAACAAGUCGGAUCGCACGUACAAGUCCGCCUCCCGCCGCCGCCGUACCGGAUGCGUCGUAAUGAAAAUUUUAAAAGCGCUCGGGGAUGUCGCUCGCUCGCUUGUGUGUGUGUGCGUAAACAUCAUAAUAUUUUCAUAUAUGUUUAUGUGCACGUGCGUGUGUGUCCCGUUAUAAAUGUAUUAUACGUCUGCAGUUGUGUGUGUGUGUGUGUGUGGCGACAGUGCACUGUGGUUUUUAAAAACGUUUGUCCGUCAUCCGUGUCCGGUUUUGUGCCCGCCGCGUAUAUGUGUGUGUGUCGUGUAGUAUAUGGAAAACAAAUGGACCGAAAACGCCGGAAACAGGAAAAAAGGGUCAAGACGCACACGCGGAUAAUUCGAUUUUAUACCCUUACCCUCGCGUUUACCACACACACACACACGCGCGCACCUUCUGUAUACUCGAGUAUUUCUGCAGGGUCUAUUGGACGGCGAUGUAUACAUAUAUAUAUAUAUUUUUAGGGGGGAAGAGAGGUCUUAAGUCUUCGGGUAGUGCAUGAGCGUGCACAUAAAUUUAAAACGACCGAAAAAGCCUUUCGCCCGCUUGUCACUAUAUGUGUACAAUAAUAUAUACGUAUACAUUCCACGGCGCAUCCUUCGCGAAGUACUGUUGCUAUUGCUGCUGCCGCGUGUUCGGCCGACCACUGUUUUUCGGUCGACAAAACAAAACAAAACCCGCGUAGAAUAUUAUUAUAUAUCUAUACACUUAUAUAGUAAAUAAGAAUUACGACCGUCUAAAAAAACAAUAAAUAUACGGAUACACUGAUCAAAAUUAACCGGUCGUUCGGAAAAAUAAACUGUUCUACACAUAUAAUAACAUGACGUACAGAAAUAUACCUUCUGCAGUGCAUCGCGUAGUAUAGACACUCGUGGAAAAAAUUCCUGGUGCAGUAUCCAGCACUACAAAUAGCGAAGAUUUUUGAAUCGCAAAAUUCGGUAAUAUAUUUGCCAAUUAUAUUGUAAUAUAUUCUGAUGUGCUAUUAUUAUACUAAAGUAUUAUACAUUGAUUAUUUGACUUACUAAUCAAUCAUCACAAAGUUCAAUUACUCAAUUAUUUGGUUGGACAAAUGCAUACAGUUUUACAAUUUAGAUAGUUAGAAGACCGCGGGUGAAUAUUAAAAAUACAAAUACAGAGUAUACAGACAUACAUAGUCGACGCAGGAUAUGGUCAAAAAAAGUAUAACAUACUAUAUUACGUUAGUGGAUUUGGGCUUGCUGAUUCCUAAGUUCCAACCUUUUCCCUCUUAUAAUGAUUAUCCUGUCAAUAAUAAGGAAGGAUACAAUGCCACUUUAGUACGUGAUGUACUACCAGAAUCAGAUAUACCUAUUAUACUCAACUACUCAAGUAUACCGCAUAGAAAAACCUAACCUUACGGAUUUACAGUAUACAGUAUACUGACAAACUGGCCAGAAAUAUCAUGUUUAUUAAAUCUUGAACCUAAUUAUUCUCCAGACAUAUAAUUAUAAAUUACCAAUGUUUCUACAUUAGUAAUGUAAUUUACAAAAAAUUACUGAUCCAACUGAAGACUGGUACUACUGUAGUGUACAAUAUAGAAUAGAUUUAAGUACAAAACAUUGUGUGUACAUCGUGUAUCAUAAGUAUGAUAUACGCGUGUAGAACAUACUACGUAUAAUAAUUAUUAUUAAUACUUAGGUAAUAAUUAUAAUUUAUAAUAAUAACAGCUGCAUUUUUAUAGAGCACUAAACAGAGAUGGCGUUGCUGGUACAAAUAGGUUUUAAGAAAAGGAAAAGGCAUUGACCUUGUUCAGUAUGCUACGAAGUAUAGUAGUAUACAUAUAUAUAUUAUAUUUAUCAUAUUAUGUAUACAUUUGUACAGGUACGCCACAGUACCCAUUCCAUUAUAGCACGAUUAAUGACUAUCAGAAUGGAUUUGAACAUGCAUUGUUAUUUAAGUAUUUUAAUUACUUAUAAUUGUAUAUGAUGUAGUUAAUGCUUAAAAUUUGUUGUUGAUGAAAUGUUGUUAUUAUAUCGUGUGGGAAAAAAUUGCAAAAAAUUGUUUGGAGGUGCAGGGAUUUGAACCCUGGACUUUCAGCAUGCGAAGCAGACACUCUACCACUGAGUUACACCCCCAGACGUAGGAUUUUACUGAAAAUGACAACAU